rnacentral:tRNA from 1 species
GGAAGGGCGCAGCUCGGUGGUAGAGCACAUGCUUGGCACGCAUGAGGUCCUGGGCUCCAUCCCCGGCACCUCCG